UACGUAGGGGGGCAAGCGUUGUCCGGAUUUAUUGGGCGUAAAGAGCGUGUAGGCGGCCAGGUAGGUCCGCUGUGAAAACUCGAGGCUCAACCUCGAGAUGUCGGCGGAAACCAUCUGGCUAGAGUCCGGAAGAGGAAAGUGGAAUUCCCGGUGUAGCGGUGAAAUGCGCAGAUAUCGGGAAGAACACCCGUGGCGAAGGCGGCUUUCUGGGGACGGUACUGACGCUGAGACGCGAAAGCGUGGGGAGCGAACAGG
rnacentral:rRNA from 1 species